rnacentral:lncRNA from 1 species
CGAAAGCGAGCAGGCGGCGCAACAAAGCGAACAGCGAGAGAAAAGGGGAAGCGAGCGGCCAGCACGAGAAAAAAGACCUAGCCCGCGCCCCCGCAGCCGCCUCCUCUCCUGCCGCCGCCGCCUCGUCCUCGUCUCGUUUCUUGCCCUCAGCGCCGCCUCCUCUCCUUCCUCUCUCUCCCUCUGCGCCACCUCCUCUUCUCUUCAUGCGUGGUGGCGUCUCGUCAUCCCCAGCCUCCUCAAUCCCCUCCUCCCGCACGAACCCUAGCAGAGAGAGAAGAUGAGAGGGAGAGAGAAGGAAGGAGAGGAGAGGAGGGAGAAAGAGAGAUGAAAGAGGAGAGGGAGGUGUGGCGGCUGACGGGAGAGGGUCAUCGGCCGGCGUCGGCCUGCGCCGGCGAGGUCGGGCGCGACCUGGCGGUUGGCGACGACUCGAUCCGUUCCUGGAUUGGGAGCUGCGAGGAGGCUGGGGCUCGGGCGCGAUGCACGGGAGGCUGCACCCCGCCUCCAUCUCCACGCGUGCGGCGGCGACCUCGGGAGGAGCUCGAGCCACAACGGUGGUCCACGGCGCCGGCGUCAGCAGGAGGAGCGUCGGCCGCAGAAACGGCCGGCUCCGUUCGGUUUUCGCGCAGGAGAGUAUUGCAGGGUGGUGUUGCUUAGCAAGCUUGCCUGCAGUAUGCAGUUUUAUACCAAUUUUUGUGUUCGCUAAUAGUUUUGGUUUGAUUGAUUCAAGUUUUUGAUUUAUGCACAUACAUAUUGUAGAGUGUAUUGUCCCCUAGCAGACUUGAUUUUAAUAUUCUAUAUGCAGCUUUGAGACAAGUGACUAUUCUCUGGUAGUCAACUAACUCAUGGGUAAAUUAGAUGUCACAGCCAAAAACAUUUAUAUAGAUAAAUCAUUGUGCAUUUUACAGGGCAAUGCUUAGAUGUUAUGAUGUUUUGUAGGAACAAGCAUGUGAUUCCCCUUGAGUGCCAGGCAGCAGCAAGGCAGAGCAGAUCGAGUGGUAAAAGCGGUGGUGCUGUGUGACAUCCUUGCGCUGGCUCCCGUCGGUAUGAUACCUUGUUUGGGUUUGCUUAUCCGAGAAUGAGCUGCGUGUUUGCCUGUGUGGUAGUUGUUGUAUUGGAUUUAUGUAUUUGAACAAUCAGAUAGCAUGCGUAAUCAUUUGAUUGUGUGGUGCAGAUCUUAAUGAAGGUCCUGCCUGACUCAUGGUUGUCAAGCCAAACAAGUCAGUAUUGCAUCUAAGUAAUGCUAUGUAUUCUAUCAGCGCCUACUCCUAAACUACCAGAUCAUGCCUGCUGUUUACAAGAUCAUGCCUGCUGUUUAUAAGUGGAUUAUUAGGCCUUUCGUUGGUCGUAUGAACUUUGGGACUUUCGGGUCUUCUGUUAAAGAUGAUGUAGAAUGCAGUGAAAUUGUUCAUGCCCUCGAUGAAGAGCAUUUAUAUAUCUCAGUUUUUUAUGGUUAAUUAACUAGAGAACUCAUCCAAGAGCAUUUAGAUAUCUCAGCUUUUUUCCCUCACAUGGAUUACUCAUAUUCCUGCCUAAAAAUGACCGCUUCCUUUUGUUAUUUGGAUCAGCUGAAGGCAUGCUCAGAUCAUCAAAUUAAGGUACAUUCAAGCUACAACUGACUUCGCGUCAAAGCAUUUACGUAUCAUUAUUAGAUUUAUGUGAUGUUCUUCAAGUGUGAUUGUGUGUUGAAUUUUUCAUAUUUGAUUGGAAUCACCAUCUGUUUGUGGCCACGGGUGAGUUUGCAUUGGCUUAGAAAAAUUGCCGCUCAUUUUUUUUACUUACGAGUAUCCUGAUCUCCAGACUAUUGCUACUUUCCUUUUUCCUUUUGUUGCUCCUCAAUUUAUUAUGACUCUUGAUUUCUAUGCAUGUGUGCAGGUGGCUUCUCUAUUGGCACAGCAUGUCCCAUCUGGUUUUAGGAAUUGGCUGGACUUCUUCCUUGUUCUGAGUGUUUGAUGCUGUAAUUUUUUCUUGGGUUUUCUCUCUUCUCCUUGUUGCUACCUUAGUUCAGUCUUUUGUUCGUGCUCUUUCUCUAGAGAUUUCCUUUUAGUUCUAAUGGUUUGAGCCGUAGAAGUUAGUGUACAGUCCUAUAUUUGGCUUCCAUGGCUCCUAAAUGGAGAGCUGGACAUGCUUGGUUGGAGUCGCUGAGCUUACUGUCCCAUGUCUCCUGGUUGUGAGAGUUGAAUCUGGUUAGUUGGAAUUAUAAAGAUCAGCAUGCAGUCCGUCCACGCCUCCUAAUUAGAUAGUUGUGCUUGGUUAGGGAGAUGCUUUUGGCUAAUUACAAUAUCUUGUCAUAGAAUUUUAUAAUUGUUUUGUACUUUUGUCAUAGAACUGGUUUUGCCAUAUCAUCUAUGAAUCCUUUUUGUUAAUUACAAUAUCCUGUGAUAGAAUUUUAUAAUGGUUUGUUCAAAUGCCUAGGAUGGGAUGCCAGAUCAUGUUAACUAUAAAAGUUUUUCUCUCCAAUCAGUUUCUGUAAGAUGAUGUGGAGAUAUUCAUAUGUGGAGCUCCUAAUCUAGCUAAUUUAACUAUGGAAAAUAUAUUGUUUACUCUACCUUAUGGGCCUAAUUUCCUAAAAAUAGGGGACAUUGUGAUAUAUACCAAUGACUGUUCAAAAUAUCAUCCAAGAGAGGCAGUAGCAGGAGAGAGGCGGUAGCAGCAAACCAAAGCAAAGGAAGAUUAACUCCUUUUUACUAUUGGCUUAUAACCUUUUGUUUUGUGUGAUUGUGCUCAGGUAUGUGAAGGAUUAGGGCUUAGGGCACUUGAUGCCAGCGAGUUGGAGUUUGCUUGGUUACAUAUGCAGGUCUUUGGAAUCUGAAACUUCUAUGUGGUGAUGAGCUUCUGCUCAUCUUGAUUGAUUCAUCUCCAGUGAAGGUACCGACACCCUUCACCCCCUCCUAAUUUGCCUCCUCUCCUCUCUUUUCCACUCAUUUUUUUGGUUUAAGCCAGAAUGUCUCAUCUCUGUAUGUAGAUCCAUUUUUGUAUCUACCUAGAAGGUGUUCGAUGAAAAUCCAAGCUGCAACAGAUGCUUGAUGAAAGCUACAGAUUCACUUCUUCCGAUUCAUUUUCCACACCUGCACAUCUAUCAUUUGCCGAAUUAAAACAAAUGAAACACUCUUAAAUACCUGGAGCUAAAGUAUGAGUUACUCUCAAGAUGUAUGCAUGCGUUUGACACCCUAAAGGUGUGUGUUUACUUAACCACAAAAAAUAUGUUUACUUCUACACAGAAGUCGUAGUUCAAUGAACUUUAAUGUGUGAUUGUGUAAUGUAGACUUCAGUGAGUAUGGCUUCUCCAAUCUACAUUGUUAUUAUGGGAGGCAUUUUGACACAAAAAAUGCAGACAAGUGGUGAAUAUCUUGAGCUCAAUUGAUAAUUGCCCGUCAAAACAGAUUGCAUAAUGUGCCUUGCUCUGAAACAUUUAGAUUGAUGUCCAUACUUUUUUUGGACACACAAUUAUUUCUAAAGUAAAAGCAUAACAAUUAUUUACUGGUUGUAGGUCACAAAGUGGCUGAUAGUAAAUCUCUCGCGUCGGCGCUCACUUUCUUUCCUCUCUCUCUUUACGUGCUCCUCCCUUGCAGGAACACAGAGUUGUGCAGCCGGUGGUGUCUUGACCAAGGGUUGUUGUGAUGAACAUCCAUCGAUGGUACUGCCUCCUCCUCCGUAUCAUGCCCAGGUAGAGCUCUCACUUCCUCCCACAUAUUCUCGAUGACAUAUUCGACAAAUUCCUGUGAACUGAGAUGGCUCCAUUUCCUUGUUUCAUUGCAUAUCCAGGUUCUCUGCUCGUCGAACAUAUAAAGGCGCAACCAUUGUGAUGUUUGCUUCCUGCCAUUAGAGCAAAGUUGCCUGAAUAAAAACAUCAGUAGUUUCCCCCUUUUAGCUUUGACGCGGUGUUAUGGUUGUACAAGUGUAUAGCAAUAGUAAGAUGUAGAUUUUUUGGGAAACGUGAGUGUGCGAUUAAUCCGAGCAGAGCCUUGCGCCACUACAAAAUGGUGAGGUAUUUCCAUGCCCACUGAAAUAGCAAACUUUAGGAUCGACCGGGCGCAUCAGUGACUUGAAGGGGAUAGCGCCAAGAGAAGAAAACAAUGGGGCGUGGUCUUCUGGAGGUGCAUCUGGUCCACGCCAAGGGCCUCUCUGGCAGCGAUUUCCUUGGUGAGUAUUCCACUGCACGCCUUUCGUGGGGAAGAACAUUUAUCGCCACCACCACGCAUGUUCUUGGCUUGGCUUGGGUUCGUCUGCUGAUGGAGAUUGAUCUGAUUUUACCCGUACUUGUAUGGAAGAUAGACCUGUGUGGUCGUUAGGUGCCGGAGCCAGGAGCACAAGGGCAACACCGCACUGAGGUCAGUGCCUCCAUAGCUCUCUGGUUUUUAGUUUCGUUACUCAUCUAUGUUCAAAGUGAUUGUAAUGUAUGCCUUGGUCUGCUCUGUUCAGUUCCAUAGGGAAUUUCUUGCCAUUGGCACGACCAGUAUUUACUAUGCAAGCAGACAAUAGUUGUUACAUUCCUGCCAACUAUAUGAAUCUCACAGCUUCUCACAUGUACCAUCCUCUUAGACUUUUAGAUUUCCAAAGAAACUAAAUGAAGAUAUGGUGGCCUGGUCUCAAUAGUACAACUUAAAGCAUUCCAUGCUUUAUAUUUUUUUCUGAAAUUUGCUUUUGAAGAAUCAUGUAUCUAUGUUAGAUCCGGUGAGAAAAGGCGGCUUCCCAGCAGAGGAUGCGACAGUGUUGGCCACAUUUGGUUUUCGACUUGGGUGUCUAAAUAUUCUCACAAUACUUGGCUCCCUCUCGCCC